AGAUCAAGCGUCUGAAGGGCAUCUGGUGGAUGCCUUGGCACUGAGAGGCGAUGAAGGACGUAGCACGUUGCGAUAAGUCACGGGGAGCCGCGAGCAGGCUUUGAUCCGUGAAUUUCCGAAUGGGGAAACCCACCGCGCAAGCGGUAUCCCGUACUGAAUUCAUAGGUACGGGAAGCGAACCCGGCGAACUGAAACAUCUAAGUAGCCGGAGGAAAGGACAUCAACCGAGACUCCGCUAGUAGUGGCGAGCGAACGCGGACCAGGCCAGUGAUUGCUUCUACAUAACCGGAACCGUCUGGAAAGUCGGGCCAUAGCGGGUGAUAGCCCCGUACGGAUAAACCGGAAGCAAUCCUCGAGUAGGGCGGGGCACGUGAAACCCUGUCCGAACAUGGGGGGACCACCCUCCAAGCCUAAGUACUCCUCAGUGACCGAUAGUGCACCAGUACCGUGAGGGAAAGGUGAAAAGCACCCCGACAAGGGGAGUGAAACAGUUCCUGAAACCGGAUGCCUACAAGCAGUCGGAGCCUCCCAAGUCUUGAAAAAGAUGGGCGGGGUGACGGCGUACCUUUUGUAUAAUGGGUCAGCGACUUAGAGUAUGCAGCGAGCUUAAGCCGAUAGGUGGAGGCGCAGCGAAAGCGAGUCUGAAUAGGGCGACCGAGUUGCAUGCUUUAGACCCGAAACCUGAUGAUCUAGCCAUGGGCAGGUUGAAGGUGCGGUAACACGCACUGGAGGACCGAACUCACGCCUGUUGAAAAAGUCGGAGAUGACCUGUGGCUAGGGGUGAAAGGCCAAUCAAAUCAGGAAAUAGCUGGUUCUCCGCGAAAGCUAUUUAGGUAGCGCGUCGCGUAUUGCUGCGGGGGGUAGAGCACUGGAUGGGCUAGGGGGGCGCGAGCCUUACCAAACCUAACCAAACUCCGAAUACCCGCAAGCAGAGCGCGGCAGACAGACGGUGGGUGCUAAGGUCCAUCGUCGAGAGGGAAACAGCCCAGACCGCCAGCUAAGGUCCCCAAAUCACGGCUAAGUGGGAAAGGAUGUGGGAAGGCCAUGACAACCAGGAGGUUGGCUUAGAAGCAGCCAUCCUUUAAAGAAAGCGUAAUAGCUCACUGGUCUAGUUAAGCCGGCCUGCGCCGAAAAUGUAUCGGGGCUCAAGCCGUGUACCGAAGCUGCGGAUGUGAUCUUCGGAUCACGUGGUAGCGGAGCGUUCCGUAAGCCUGCGAAGGGUGGCCGUGAGGUCGCCUGGAGGUAUCGGAAGUGAGAAUGCUGACAUGAGUAGCGACAAAGAGUGUGAGAAACACUCUCGCCGAAAGUCCAAGGGUUCCUGCGCAAGGUUAAUCCACGCAGGGUGAGCCGGCCCCUAAGGCGAGGCCGAAAGGCGUAGUCGAUGGGAACCACGUUAAUAGUCGUGGGCCUGGCGGAGGUGACGGAUUGGAAAGCGUGUAUGUCCUUAUCGGAUUGGACAUGCUGUGGACCGGUUCCAGGAAACAGCCCCGCCGUAUAGACCGUACCCCAAACCGACACAGGUGGACAGGUAGAGUAUACCCAGGCGCUUGAGAGAAUGGUGUUGAAGGAACUCGGCAAAUUGCCCUCGUAACUUCGGAAGAAGAGGGCCCCGUUGUGGCGCAAGCCAUGGCGGGGGGCACAGACCAGGGGGUAGCGACUGUUUACUAAAAACACAGGGCUCUGCGAAGCCAUACAAGGCGACGUAUAGGGUCUGACGCCUGCCCGGUGCCGGAAGGUUAAGAGGAGGGGUGCAAGCUCUGAAUUGAAGCCCCGGUAAACGGCGGCCGUAACUAUAACGGUCCUAAGGUAGCGAAAUUCCUUGUCGGGUAAGUUCCGACCUGCACGAAUGGCGUAACGACUUCCCCGCUGUCUCCAACACCAACUCAGCGAAAUUGAACUCUCCGUGAAGAUGCGGAGUUCCCGCGGUCAGACGGAAAGACCCCGUGCACCUUUACUACAGCUUUGCAGUGGUGCUAGGGAUCUCAUGUGUAGGAUAGGUGGGAGGCUUGGAAGCCUGGGCGCCAGCCCGGGUGGAGCCAACCUUGAAAUACCACCCUUGAGAUCUCUGGCAUCUAACCGCGGCCCGUUACCCGGGUCCGGGACCCUGCAUGGCGGGUAGUUUGACUGGGGCGGUCGCCUCCCAAAGUGUAACGGAGGCGCGCGAUGGUGGGCUCAGAGCGGUCGGAAAUCGCUCGUCGAGUGCAAUGGCAUAAGCCCGCCUGACUGCAAGACUGACAAGUCGAGCAGAGACGAAAGUCGGCCAUAGUGAUCCGGUGGCUCCACGUGGACGGGCCAUCGCUCAACGGAUAAAAGGUACGCCGGGGAUAACAGGCUGAUGACUCCCAAGAGUCCAUAUCGACGGAGUCGUUUGGCACCUCGAUGUCGGCUCAUCACAUCCUGGGGCUGGAGCAGGUCCCAAGGGUUCGGCUGUUCGCCGAUUAAAGUGGUACGUGAGCUGGGUUUAGAACGUCGUGAGACAGUUCGGUCCCUAUCUGCCGUGGGUGUAGGAGUUUUGCGAGGAUCUGUCCCUAGUACGAGAGGACCGGGAUGGACAUACCUCUGGUGCACCGGUUGUCACGCCAGUGGCAUGGCCGGGUAGCUAAGUAUGGACGGGAUAACCGCUGAAAGCAUCUAAGCGGGAAACCCACCUCUAAACAAGAGCUCCCUUGAGAGCCGUGACAGACCAUCACGUCGAUAGGAGGCAUGUGGACGGGCGGUGACGCUCGAAGCUAAGCCUUACUAAUCGCUCGAUCGGCUUGAUCUCGA
rnacentral:rRNA from 1 species